rnacentral:rRNA from 1 species
GACGAACGCUGGCGGCGUGCUUAACACAUGCAAGUCGAACGGGUCUGCCCUGUUUUUUGCGGGGUGGGUCAGUGGCGAACGGGUGAGUAACACGUGAGUAACCUGCCCCUCACUUCUGGAUAACCGCUUGAAAGGGUGGCUAAUACGGGGUGUUCUGGCUGUGCCGCAUGGUGUGGCUGGGAAAGAUUCACUUUUGUGGUGUUUUGGUGGGGGAUGGGCUCGCGGCCUAUCAGCUUGUUGGUGGGGUGAUGGCCUGCCAAGGCUUUGACGGGUAGCCGGCCUGAGAGGGUGGGCGGUCACACUGGGACUGAGAUACGGCCCAGACUCCUGCGGGAGGCAGCAGUGGGGGGUAUUGCACAAUGGGCGGAAGCCUGAUGCAGCGACGUCGCGUGAGGGAUGGAGGCCUUCAGGUUGUGAACCUCUUUCGCCGGUGAAGAAGGUCCUGCUCUUUGUGGUGGGGUUGACGGUAGCCGGGUUAUGAAGCGCCGGCUAACUACGUG